AGACGAACUGCCGUUGACAAAACGGAGGAAGGUGGGGAGUGACGUCAAAUCAUCAUGCCCCUUAUGUUCUGGGCUACACACGUGCUACAAUGGCCGGUACAGACGGACGCAAAGCCGCGAGGUGGAGCAAAUCCUAAAAAGCCGGUCUCAGUUCGGAUUGCAGGCUGCAAUUCGCCUGCAUGAAGUCGGAAUCGCUAGUAAUCGCAGGUCAGCAUACUGCGGUGAAUACGUUCCCGGGCCUU
rnacentral:rRNA from 1 species